rnacentral:rRNA from 1 species
UGGCGGCGUGCSUAACACAUGCAAGUCGAGCGGAGCUAAUAGUAAUAUUAGUUUAGCGGCGGACGGGUGAGUAACGCGUGGGUAACSUACCCAUAAAGCCGGGACAACCCUUGGAAACGAGGGCUAAUACCGGAUAAUCUUAGGGCUUGGCAUCAAGCUGUAAGGAAAGAGGGCCUCUGAAAAUGCUCUUGAUUAUGGAUGGACCCGCGUCUGAUUAGCUGGUUGGUGGGGUAAAGGCCUACCAAGGCGACGAUCAGUAGCCGGCCUGAGAGGGUGAACGGCCACACUGGGACUGAGACACGGCCCAGACUCCUACGGGAGGCAGCAGUGGGGAAUCUUCCGCAAUGGACGAAAGUCUGACGGAGCAACGCCGCGUGUAUGAUGAAGGUCUUCGGAUUGUAAAGUACUGUCCUUAGGGAAGAACGGCAGCUAUGAAAAUAUUGUAGAUGCAUGACGGUACCUAAGGAGGAAGCCCCGGCUAACUACGUGCCAGCAGCCGCGGUAAUACGUAGGGGGGCAAGCGUUGUCCGGAAUUAUUGGGCGUAAAGGGCGCGUAGGCGGAUAGUUAAGUCCGGUGUGAAAGAUCAGGGCUCAACCCUGAGAGUGCAUCGGAAACUGGUUAUCUUGAGGACAUGAAAGGAAAGUGGAAU